rnacentral:miRNA from 1 species
UAAGUACUUAGAGCCGCAUGAG